GCCAGACUCCUACGGGAGGCAGCAGUGGGGAAUAUUGCACAAUGGGGGAAACCCUGAUGCAGCGACGCCGCGUGAGUGAGGAAGUAUUUCGGUAUGUAAAGCUCUAUCAGCAGGGAAGAAAAAAUGACGGUACCUGACUAAGAAGCACCGGCUAAAUACGUGCCAGCAGCCGCGGUAAUACGUAUGGUGCAAGCGUUAUCCGGAUUUACUGGGUGUAAAGGGAGCGCAGGCGGUACGGCAAGUCUGAUGUGAAAGCCCGGGGCUCAACCCCGGUACUGCAUUGGAAACUACCGGACUGGAGUGUCGGAGGGGUAAGUGGAAUUCCUAGUGUAGCGGUGAAAUGCGUAGAUAUUAGGAGGAACACCAGUGGCGAAGGCGGCUUACUGGACGAUCACUGACGCUGAGGCUCGAAAGCGUGGGGAGCAAACAGGAUUAGAUACCCCAGUA
rnacentral:rRNA from 1 species